GCAUAUCAAUAAGCGGAGGAAAAGAAACCAACAGGGAUUGCCUCAGUAACGGCGAGUGAAGCGGCAACAGCUCAAAUUUGAAAUCUGGCCUCUUUGGGGUCCGAGUUGUAAUUUGUAGAGGAUGUUUCGGGUACCGCCUCGGUCUAAAUUUCUUGGAACAGAAUGUCAAAGAGGGUGAGAAUCCCGUCUUGGACCGGCGGUAGGGCCCAUGUGAAACUCCUUCGACGAGUCGAGUUGUUUGGGAAUGCAGCUCAAAAUGGGUGGUAAAUUUCAUCUAAAGCUAAAUAUUGGCCAGAGACCGAUAGCGCACAAGUAGAGUGAUCGAAAGAUGAAAAGCACUUUGAAAAGAGAGUUAAACAGUAUGUGAAAUUGUUGAAAGGGAAGCGCUUGCAACCAGACUUGAGCGCGGCGGUUCCCCCUUCCUUUUGGUUGGGUUAUUCCGUCGUGUCCAGGCCAACAUCGGUUCCGGGGGUCGGUUAAAGGCUCGAGGAAUGUACCUACUCCUUCGGGGGUAGACUUAUAGCCUCGGGUGUCAUGCGACCUCCCGGGACCGAGGAACGCGCUUCGGCUCGGAUGUUGGCGUAAUGGUUGUCAGCGACCCGUCUUGAAACACGGACCAAGGAGUCUAACAUCUAUGCGAGUGUUUGGGUGUCAAACCCGGAACGCGGAAUGAAAGUGAACGGAGGUAGGAAGCCGUGAGGCUGCACUAUCGACCGAUCCUGAUGUCUUCGGAUGGAUUUGAGUAAGAGCAUAGCUGUUGGGACCCGAAAGAUGGUGAACUAUGCCUGAAUAGGGUGAAGCCAGAGGAAACUCUGGUGGAGGCUCGCAGCGGUUCUGACGUGCAAAUCGAUCGUCAAAUUUGGGUAUAGGGGCGAAAGACUAAUCGAACCAUCUGGUAGCUGGUUCCUGCCGAA
rnacentral:rRNA from 1 species